rnacentral:rRNA from 1 species
GAUGAACGCUGGCGGCGUGCCUAAUACAUGCAAGUCGAGCGAAUGGAUUAAGAGCUUGCUCUUAUGAAGUUAGCGGCGGACGGGCGAGUAACACGUGGGUAACCUGCCCAUAAGACUGGGAUAACUCCGGGAAACCGGGGCUAAUACCGGAUAACAUUUUGAACCGCAUGGUUCGAAAUUGAAAGGCGGCUUCGGCUGUCACUUAUGGAUGGACCCGCGUCGCAUUAGCUAGUUGGUGAGGUAACGGCUCACCAAGGCAACGAUGCGUAGCCGACCUGAGAGGGGGAUCGGCCACACUGGGACUGAGACACGGCCCAGACUCCUACGGGGGGAAGCAGUAGGGAAUCUUCCGCAAUGGACGAAAGUCUGACGGAGCAACGCCGCGUGAGUGAUGAAGGCUUUCGGGUCGUAAAACUCUGUUGUUAGGGAAGAACAAGUGCUAGUUGAAUAAGCUGGCACCUUGACGGUACCUAACCAGAAAGCCACGGCUAACUACGUGCCAGCCGCCGCCGUAA